rnacentral:rRNA from 1 species
GCUCAGAACGAACGCUAGCGGUGUGGAUUAGGCAUGCAAGUCGUGCGCGAAAGCCUUCGGGCGAGUAAAGCGGCGAAAGGGUGAGUAACACGUAACCAACGUACCCUGCAGAUCGGAAUAACCUCUGGAAACGGUGGAUAAUGCCGAAUGGUCCGUCGGAGGACAUCCUUCGAACGGUAAACGGUGGCUUCGGCUGCUGCUGCGGGAGCGGGUUGCGGCCUAUCAGCUUGUUGGUGGGGUAACGGCCUACCAAGGCGAUGACGGGUAGCGGGUCUGAGAGGAUGAUCCGUCACACUGGGACUGAGACACUGCCCAGACUCCUACGGGAGGCUGCAGUCGAGAAUCUUCCACAAUGGGCGAAAGCCUGAUGGAGCGACACCGCGUGCAGGAUGAAGGCCUUAGGGUUGUAAACUGCUGUCACGCUAUAGGAACCCCCGUCCGUUAAUAGCGGGCGGGCUGACCAAAGCGAGAGGAAGCGCCGGCUAACUCCGUGCCAGCAGCCGCGGUAAUACGGAGGGCGCAAGCGUUGUUCGGAUUCACUGGGCAUAAAGAGCACGUAGGCGGCUCGCUCAGUUGGGUGUGAAAGCCCACGGCCCAACCGUGGAACUGCACCCAAUACUGGCGAGCUCGAGGACGGAAGGGGUGAGUGGAACUCCAGGUGGAACGGUGAAAUGUGUAGAUAUCUGGAGGAACACCGGUGGCGAAAGCGGCUCACUGGUCCGUCUCUGACGCUGAGGUGCGAAAGCUAGGGUAGCGAACGGGAUUAGAUACCCCGGUAGUCCUAGCCGUAAACGAUGGGCACUAGCAAUGGGCUUUCCUAUGGGGCUCAUUGCCGGAGCUAAUGUGUUAAGUGCUCCGCCUGGGGAGUACGCUCGCAAGGUAAAACUCAA